rnacentral:tRNA from 1 species
UCUUCCGUAGUAUAGUGGUCAGUAUGUGAGCUUGUCAUCUGUUGACUUCGCUCGAGACCCGGGUUCAAUUCCCGGCGGGAGAG